CAGCAAGCCAGCAUUUCUGGAGAUGUUAAAGCAAGUCUUUUAGGCAGAAGGAAACUAAAACCAGAUGGAAACCUGAUUCUACACACAGAUGGGGAAAUUAUUUUAGUCCACUCUUAUGUCCUCCAGAUUUGUGAAGAAGAAGAAGGAGAAGGAGAGAGGAGGAGGAAGAGGAAGGAGGAGGUGGGGAAGGAGAAGAAAAAGAAGAAGAAAUUGAGACCUAUGAGUUGUUAACAAUGUCAGGACCUAUUAUUUUUUAUUAUUUUUUAUUUAUUCAUGAGAGACACACAGAGAGAGGCAGAGACAUAGGCAGAAGAGAAGCAGGUUCCUCAAGUGGAGCCUAUGUGGGACUCGAUCCCGGGACUCCAGGAUCACACCCUGAGUCGAAGGCAGAUGCACAACCACUGAGCCACCCAGGCAUCCCGACAGGACCUAAUUAGACACACUCUAAAUAUUUUUCAAGAAGUUGUAAUAUCCAGUCGAUGUCAACAACUCUUAAUUCAAAAAUAAAAAUAAAGGUAAUCCAAACAAUCCAAUGAUUUUGGGCAACUAGCAGACAAAGAAAAGAAAAAGAAGGAAGAAAGAAAGGAAAGGAAGGAAGUGAGGAAAGGAGAAGGGAAGGAGCUCUCUCUCACUUAGGAAAGAGAAAUUUUGCUAGAGAAUGAAAUCUGUUCAUCUGCCACUAGAAGCAUCAAUUUUUAGCACGCGGGUCACUGCUUCUGAAUAGGGUGCCAGCUGUGUGCCAUACAUGCUGUUGACAAGGGAAAAUUCUGCUUUGAAACCUCAAGUUGGUGUCUUCUCACUGGGAAAUCAACCAACCUGCAACACCAAGAGUGUCAUUUGUCUUUACAGACUUGAUGAACCGCUGAAGGAAAGGCAGCAGAGAAGCUUUCAGAGAAGGAAAAUCUGUGUCUUCUGAUAGAAGAAAUUGGUGGCAUUGAUAAAAUUGAGGCUUUGCAACUUCAUGAGAAUCCUCAGGUUGCCCUUACUGCUUUGAACAUUAUUGAGAACCAUUUUUGUGAGGGAGAAGAAAGUGGUGCAAUAUUACCAGCCCUGGACCAAGAUAAUGAAUUCCUAAACCGCUUAACAAAAAAAUACCAAGGCCCCACGACUUCUAAACAAAGGACCAAACCCUAAUGGGUAACUUCUUUGAGGACCUUCUGUGAAUUGGCAUGGCAUGGGUGUAAAGCUUUUUAAACUAAAUGUUAAUAAAAUUUUCAACACAUUAAAAAAAAGAAGGUAUUUGGUAUUUGGUAGUCCUGAGAAUGAUGUUUUUCAUGGGCCUUUUUUGUCAUGAUGCCGAUUUUGUAUUUUUUUCUGCAACAUUUGUGUAAAUAUAAGA